CACACCGCCCGUCANACAUGGGAGUUUGUUGCACCAGAAGCAGGUAGCCUAAACCGCAAGGGGGGGCGCUUGCCACGGUGUGGCCGAUGACUGGGGGUG
rnacentral:rRNA from 1 species